AGAGUUUGAUCAUGGCUCAGGAUGAACGCUAGCGGCAGGCCUAAUACAUGCAAGCCGAACGGCAAGUUUGAUAGCAAUAUUGAACCUAGAGUGGCGUAAGGGUGCGUAACACGUAUGCAAUCUACCCGCAACAGGAGGAUAGCUCCCCGAAAGGGGAAUUAACCCUCCAUGAGAUCACACGAGGGCAUCUGAGAGUGAUUAAACUACAAGGGGUUGUGGAUGAGCAUGCGUCUGAUUAGCUAGUUGGCAGUGUAACGGACUACCAAGGCGAUGAUCAGUAGGGGAACUGAGAGGUUGAUCCCCCACACUGGCACUGAGAUACGGGCCAGACUCCUACGGGAGGCAGCAGUAGGGAAUAUUGGUCAAUGGGUGAGAGCCUGAACCAGCCAUGCCGCGUGCAGGAAGAAGGCCUUCUGGGUUGUAAACUGCUUUUGCCGGGGGAUAAAAGACCCUUGCGAGGGAAAUUGAAGGUACCUGGUGAAUAAGCCACGGCUAACUACGUGCCAGCAGCCGCGGUAAUACGUAGGUGGCAAGCGUUGUCCGGAUUUAUUGGGUUUAAAGGGUGCGUAGGCGGUUGAUUAAGUCAGUUGUGAAAUACGAUAGCUCAACUAUCGAGGUGCAAUUGAUACUGGUUGACUUGAGUACAGACGAGGUAGGCGGAAUUGACGGUGUAGCGGUGAAAUGCAUAGAUAUCGUCAAGAACACCGAUAGCGAAGGCAGCUUACUAGACUGUAACUGACGCUGAGGCACGAAAGUGUGGGGAUCAAACAGGAUUAGAUACCCUAGUAGUCC
rnacentral:rRNA from 1 species